rnacentral:rRNA from 1 species
GAUGAACGCUGGCGGCGUGCCUAAUACAUGCAAGUCGAGCGAACAGGCGAGGCGCUUGGUCCUCUGGAGUUAGCGGCGGGCGGGUGAGUAACAAGUGGAUAACCUACCUAUAAGACUUGGAUAACUUCGGGAAAACGGAGCUAAUAACGGAUAACAUGUUGAAACGGAUGGUUCAAAAGUUAAAGACGGUUUUGCUUGUCCCUAUAGAUGGAUCCGCGUUGCAUGAGCUAGUUGGUAAGGUAACGGCUUACCAAGGCAACGAUGCGUAGCCGACCUGAGAGGGUGAUCGGCCACACUGGAACUGAGACACGGUCCAGACUCCUACGGGAGGCAGCAGUAGGGAAUCUUCCGCAAUGGGCGAAAGCCUGACGGAGCAACGCCGCGUGAGUGAAGAAGGUCUUCGGAUCGUAAAACUCUGUUAUUAGGGAAGAACAAAUGUGUAAGUAACUAUGCACGUCUUGACGGUACCUAAUCAGAAAGCCACGGCUAACUACGUG